rnacentral:rRNA from 1 species
UACGAAGGGGGCUAGCGUUGUUCGGAUUUACUAGGGCGUAAAGCGCACGUAGGCGGUUUGUUAAGUCAGGGGUGAAAUCCCACAGCUCAACUGUGGAACUGCCUUUGAUACUGGCAAGGCUAGGAGUCCGGAAGAGGUAAGUGGAACUCCUAGUGUAGAGGUGGAAUUCGUAGAUAUUAGGAAGAACACCAGUGGCGAAAGGCGGCUUACUGGUCCGGAACUGACGCUGGAGGUGACGAAAGCGUGGGGAGCAAACAGG